rnacentral:lncRNA from 1 species
AUGACAUCCUGGUUGUAUGAAUGUCUUUGUGAAGCUGAACUAGCACAGUAUUAUCCUCAUUUUACUGCCCUUGGCCUUCAGAAAAUAGAUGAAUUAGCCAACGUUACAAUGAAGGACUACUCCAAAUUGGGAGUCCAUGACAUGAAUGACCGCAAACGUCUCUUCCAACUUAUCAAAAUCAUUAAGAUUAUGCAGGAAGAAGAUAAAGCAGUCAGUAGCCCAGACUAUCGUCUUCAGACAAGCAAUCUGUGUGUCAAGCCUCAGAAAUCCAGAUCUGGCCCUCGAAGGCAACUGCAUUUUGAUUCUCCUGCUGACAACAAAGACAGAACUACCAGCAACAAUCAGUUUGAACUGUGUGAUUUAUCAGAUUUUUCUGCAAGUGAACAGAAGUCUAACUACAUAAAAGUACUGGAGCACAUGCUACCAGCUAAUUCCCAGUACCAUAUACAAACAGGAAUUCUGAAUGCCACAGCCGCUGAUUCCUGCAUACAAAAAGAAGCUAAGACUUCAUCCUUUUCAUCUAAUUACUUUUCUCCAGUACAGGGGGAUUGUGAUAGUUCAGUUAUUCAAAGAAUCUCUCAUGUUUCAGGGUAUAACUAUGGAAUCCCUCAUUCCUAUAUCAGACAGAACACUUCAGAGAAAGAGAAUCCUUGGACUGAGAUGGAGAAAAUCAGAGUUUGUGUUCGAAAACGCCCUCUGGGCAUGAGGGAGGUACGUCGUGGAGAAAUCAACAUUAUUACUGUGAAAGAUAAAGAAACUCUACUUGUUCAUGAGAAGAAAGAAGCAGUUGACCUCACACAGUAUAUUCUACAGGUGAUCCUCAAGGGCAGCAAGGAGCGCAGCACCAGGGCCACUGGAGUUAAUGCAGACUCCUCCCGCUCUCACGCUAUCAUCCAAAUUCAGAUCAAAGAUUCAGCCAAGAGGACAUUUGGCAGGAUCUCUUUCAUUGACUUGGCUGGCAGUGAAAGAGCAGCGGAUGCCCGAGACUCAGAUAGACAGACAAAGAUGGAAGGCGCAGAAAUAAACCAGAGUCUUCUGGCUCUGAAGGAAUGUAUCCGUGCAUUGGAUCAGGAACACACCCACACUCCUUUCAGGCAAAGCAAAUUAACUCAGGUGCUGAAGGACUCUUUCAUUGGCAAUGCCAAAACCUGCAUGAUCGCCAACAUCUCACCAAGCCAUGUGGCCACUGAACACACUCUGAAUACUUUGCGCUAUGCUGACCGGGUCAAAGAACUAAAGAAAGGCAUUAAAUGUUGUACGCCAGCUAACAGUCGAAAUCGAACAUCUGGAAACUCUAACUCUUCUCCAAAACGAAUUCAGAGCUCUCCUGUGGCCCUGCCAGGGGACAAAUGUUCUCCCAAAAAAGUCAAGCUGGGGCUUCAGCAGCCGCUCACAGUGCCAUCUGGCUCCAUGAGAGGGAAGGCCCAUCCUCUGGCUAGUCACCCAGCCAAUAUCCCUUUUGCUUCUAUACCUAAGGUUCCUGGCAAAGAGGGUGGCUCUCGAGGGAGUCCUCCCCGAGAGUGGGUCAUUCAGACUAGCUCUAGCAAAGGAACCGUGCUGUCUGGACAUGUAGCCAUAAAAAGGGCAGAAGAAUCAGCUGCAUUAUGCUCUGAGAAAAACCCAAUUGGCAACAAAACCUCCCUAGGCUGGGGAAGCAGGGCGCCAGGCCCAGGAGGGGACCUGGCCCAUGGUAAGCCACCCUCCCGGUGCAAGAAAGUGCAGACUGUGCAGCCUGUGCAGAAGCAGCUUGUGUCUCGAGGCGAGCUCUCCUUUGGCAGUGCCCAGCGCUUAGCGGAGUACGGUCAGGGCAGCAAGGAGGGCGCGCCAAGCUGGCCUGCCUCUGAAGCCUGGACCAACAUCCCUGCGCAGCAGGCGGCGAGGGAGGAGCAUUUGCGCUUUUACCACCAGCAGUUCCAGCAGCCACCUCUCCUCCAGCAGAAGUUACAGUACCAACCCCUGGAAAGGUUUUUAUGCCGGUCCCGGCCCCCAGAAGGGCAGCUCCAGAGUGACAUCCCUCCUCCCUUCCACCCUCAUCGUGCUGAGAGUCAUGAUGGAGCCCAAGUCCCUCAAGCCGAGGACCCUGAUGACAGCGACUUCAGUGAAGAUUCUUUUUCACAUGUCUCCUGUCAGAGGACCACAAAGCAGGGAGAGAGCCCGGAGAACAGCGAAGGCUCGUUCUUCCUUCAUCAGAGGGAGCAAGGUCCUGAGGAGCAGGUGGCUGAAAGGCAGCAGAGUCUGUUUCUCAGCCCAGAUGGUGACAAGGAGGGUGUAACUAGAAGCUGGGUGUACUCCAGGGACCCCGCAGGCCACAGAAGGAUAACACUCAAUCACAGCCGCAGCCCAGGUCAGGUGCCCUUGGACUGGAGCGGAGAGGAGGACUCAGGCUCCUCAGGGCCUCCUCCCAGAGAAGACCUGGCAGGGAAGCCUUACUGCUCACAGGUGGACUCUGUGUAUGAUCGGGAAGGAGGUGGCGGCCCUGCUUUUGACCUCAGACAGGAAGCCUUCAGAAGUGAGGUUCCUGGGCAGGCCGAGGGCAGCUUGCCAUCCCUGGAGGAAGAUGGUUUCACUUGCUCACUAUCCCACAUCGCAGUUCCUGGAUCCCCAGACCAGAGAGACACAGUGAGCACACCCCUGAGAGAAGUCAGUGAAGACAGCCCAAUUCUGGAGACCAGACCAAGGAAAAACAGUAACCCUUUCCAAGGAGAAGACUCUAAUGGUGAAUUAGGCACGUGCUCUGAGUAUGCUUCCGGACUGAUGGCUCCGCUCACCAUGUCCCUCCUGGAGAGCCUGGAUGAUGGGGGGGCUCCUUCCUGGGAGCAGCCGGCCCAGGAUGGAACUGCGCAUGGUCUCAUGGCAGUGGACACAGAGGGGCCAGCAGUGAGCCGUGCAGUGUCAUCGGGUGAUCCAGAGGCGGUCCUGCCAACAUCUUCGGCAACCGAGCACCUGUGGCUCUCCUCAUCUCCCCCCGACGACAAGCCUGGGGGCAGUCUUCCAGCUCUGUCCCCAUCACCCAUCCGUCAGCGCCCACCUGACGAGCUGCCCAGCGGAGAGGCUGACCCGGGGGAGGCCUGCCAGAGCAGAGGGACCGCACUUUUCUCCCGGGGGCACCGUUAUGCCAAUGCUGAGACAGAGCUGGACAGCUCCCAGGGUUUCCUGGGAAAGCCCUUCCUCACCUUACAUCCUGGAGGACCUCACGCUGGGCCUACACUCACCCCCAGAGCAGGAAAUAGUGAUGUGGCUGACCAGCCUGGGGCCCAGGAGAGAAAGCAGCUCACUGGGCCCAGCUGGCUGGAACUGGGUUUCUCCACAGACCCCAUCACACUGUCUUGCUACAAUGAGGACAUUGCAUGGCUCAAACAUAGGCCAAUCCCAAGGUCCUUAGCAAGGCCAGGCUCUCCGCUGGUGGCCAGCUGCUCUCCCAAGAUCGCUGGGACACUCCGUCAGCCUGCCCUGGGACAUGCACAGCAGGUGGUCAUCCAAGCACACCAGGAACAGCUGGAUGAAAUGGCUGAGUUGGGCUUCAAGGAGGAGACCCUGAUGAGCCAGCUGGCUCCUACUGAUUUUGAAGGUUUUGUGAUUCAGCUAGAUGAAAUCAUGGUUCUGAAGUCCAAGUGCAUCCAGAGUCUGAGGAGCCAGCUACAGCUAUACCUGGCCUGCCACAAGCCAGCUGCAGGCCCUGAGAGGACAGCGGUGUCUUAGAGUGGAGUUGGUAUGGGGUGGCUGGGCUCUCAAGAGCUGGAGGGGCCUCCACCAGGUCCCCCUGCAGAUCUCGGCACCCACUCCCUUGUCCCUCCCAUGCUGGUCGCUCCCUCACCACUCAUGGCCUGGGCUGGGUCCCAGCUCCUCUCUCAGAGCAAGCAUCUGUCCAGUUCCAAGCACCGGGGCUUCUGCAGGGAAGGACAGAUGAGCCUGAACAACUUCUAAUAGGUCUCUCCCUUUUCUUUGGGGUUGAGGAUUUGCAUUACUGACCCUUUGUGGAAACACAGUUGGGUCUAAUAACCCUGUAGAUGUUUCUGAAUUUGGGGGUCUGAGGAUGGGGGCGGGCGGUGGUCAGCGGUAACCUACAGGUUGGAGGUCGCAAGCUAGGAGAGAGGACAUGCUGAGCCUAGAGGUUUUACCAGCUGGAUUCUGUGCCUUCCUCCAGGACUUGGUCAAAAACUAAAACGCUGGUGCUAGUGGGGUGGGGGUUGGGUGAGAUCUGCCCCACCAGCCCUUGGGAGGUUAGCUUUUGAUGAAUAAACCGUAACUCAAUGUCCCGCA